rnacentral:rRNA from 1 species
AACGAACGCUGGCGGCAUGCCUAACACAUGCAAGUCGAACGAGACCUUCGGGUCUAGUGGCGCACGGGUGCGUAACACGUGGGAAUCUGCCCUUUGCUUCGGAAUAACAGUUAGAAAUGACUGCUAAUACCGGAUGAUGUCGAAAGACCAAAGAUUUAUCGGCAAAGGAUGAGCCCGCGUAGGAUUAGGUAGUUGGUGGGGUAAAGGCCUACCACGCCGACGAUCCUUAGCUGGUCUGAGAGGAUGAUCAGCCACACUGGGACUGAGACACGGCCCAGACUCCUACGGGAGGCAGCAGUGGGGAAUAUUGGACAAUGGGCGAAAGCCUGAUCCAGCAAUGCCGCGUGAGUGAUGAAGGCCUUAGGGUUGUAAAGCUCUUUUACCAGGGAUGAUAAUGACAGUACCUGGAGAAUAAGCGCCGGCUAACUCCGUG